UUGGUCUACGGGGCGCAGCAGUGAGGAAUAUUGGUCAAUGGCCGGAAGGCUGAACCAGCCAAGCCGCGUGAGGGAGGAAGGCGCAGAGCGUCGCAGACCUCUUUUGCCGGGGGACAAAAGGCCGGACUCGUCCGGUCCUGAGGGUACCCGGAGAAAAAGCAUCGGCUAACUCCGUGCCAGCAGCCGCGGUAAUACGUAGGGGGCAAGCGUUAUCCGGAUUUACUGGGUGUAAAGGGAGCGUAGACGGCCAGACAAGUCUGAAGUGAAAAUCCAGCGCUUAACGUUGGAAGUGCUUUGGAAACUGC
rnacentral:rRNA from 1 species